AUUGAACGCUGGCGGCAGGCCUAACACAUGCAAGUCGAACGGUAACAGAAAGCAGCUUGCUGCUUCGCUGACGAGUGGCGGACGGGUGAGUAAUGUCUGGGAAACUGCCUGAUGGAGGGGGAUAACUACUGGAAACGGUAGCUAAUUCCGCAUAACGUCGCAAGACCAAAGAGGGGGACCUUCGGGCCUCUUGCCAUCGGAUGUGCCCAGAUGGGAUUAGCUUGUUGGUGGGGUAACGGCUCACCAAGGCGACGAUCCCUCACGGGUCUGAGAGGAUGACCAGCCACACUGGAACUGAGCCACGGUCCAGACUCCUACGGGAGGCAGCAGUGGGGAAUAUUGCACAAUGGGCGCAAGCCUGAUGCAGCCAUGCCGCGUGUAUGAAGAAGGCCUUCGGGUUGUAAAGUACUUUCAGCGGGGAGGAAGGGAGUAAAGUUAAUACCUUUGCUCAUUGACGUUACCCGCAGAAGAAGCACCGGCUAACUCCGUGCCAGCAGCCGCGGUAA
rnacentral:rRNA from 1 species